AGGAGGGGAAGAGGUUGGCGGAAAAAGGGAGAACGUAAGUGAUACGACUGAAGGGAGGGGGAGUGAGGAACUACGUCAUUGUGUUUCUGCGCAUGCGCACAUCCACUCCAUUCGCCUGACUAAAGAGAUUCAUUUUGGGUCUACCUUGAAGAAUGAAGGCAGUCUGGCUCCACUUUAUCUGCUUGCUUCAAUGCUAUGCUGUCAUUACAAGGCCUCAAACUGGUUCCAGGAUUUCCUAUGUAAUAAUCUGAACUGUGAAACUUUCUUCCAAUACCGGUUUGAAACUACAUUGAAUGGUCAGUAUAUGAAUUAUCCCCCUCUUCUCACUCUCAGUCUCCUCUUCUUUUCAUUCUCCAUCUCUUCUUCUCUGUCUCCUCCUCCUAUUCUUCCUUCUCCUCCUCCUCCUCUCCUUCUCCAUCUUCUCUUUUUCUUCUCAUUCUCCAUCUCCUCCUCAUCCUUCUCCUCCUCCUACUCUUCCUUCUCUUCUUCAUCACAUCCUAGAAUCAUAGAGUUGGAAGAGACUUCAUGGGCCAUCCAGUCCAACCCCCUGCCAAAAAGCAAGAAAAUUGCAUUCAAAGCACCCCAACAGAUGGCCAUCCAGCCUCUGUUUAAAAGCCUCCAAAGAAGGAAGCCUCCACCACACUCCGGGGCAGAGAGUUCCACUGCUGAAAACUCUCACAAUUAGGAAGUUCUUCCUAGUGUUCAGGUGGAAUCUGAACAUCCUCUACUCCGCUAUUUCCUCCUCCCUUUCUCUUCCUUCUCUUUGUCUUCAUCAUCUCCUCCUUCUCCUCUUCCUCCUCCUCCUCCUUCUCUUCAUCUUGUCUCCUUCUCUUUCUCCAUCUCCUACUCCUCUUCUCCAUCUCCUCUUUCUCUUAUUGAAAAUUCAGAUCCCCUCCUGAAAGAUAAACUCAACGCAAGCUCAGUAUAAUUAAACAUGAACUUUUGCUUUUACUUUAUAUUAUCAUACAAUUUUGAAAUAGUGUUCCCUCACUACUUUGUG
rnacentral:lncRNA from 11 species